rnacentral:rRNA from 1 species
AAUAGAUACCCUGGUAGUCCAUGCCGUAAACGUUGGGCACUAGGUGUGGGGGACAUUCCACGUUUUCCGCGCCGUAGCUAACGCAUUAAGUGCCCCGCCUGGGGAGUACGGCCGCAAGGCUAAAACUCAAAGGAAUUGACGGGGGCCCGCACAAGCGGCGGAGCAUGCGGAUUAAUUCGAUGCAACGCGAAGAACCUUACCAAGGCUUGACAUGAACCGGAAAGACCUGGAAACAGGUCCCCCACUUGUGGUCGGUUUACAGGUGGUGCAUGGUUGUCGUCAGCUCGUGUCGUGAGAUGUUGGGUUAAGUCCCGCAACGAGCGCAACCCUCGUUCUAUGUUGCCAGCACGUGAUGGUGGGGACUCAUAGGAGACUGCCGGGGUCAACUCGGAGGAAGGUGGGGACGACGUCAAAUCAUCAUGCCCCUUAUGUCUUGGGCUUCACGCAUGCUACAAUGGCCGGUACAAAGGGUUGCGAUACUGUGAGGUGGAGCUAAUCCCAAAAGCCGGUCUCAGUUCGGAUUGGGGUCUGCAACUCGACCCCA